CGGACGGGUGAGUAAUGUCUGGGAAACUGCCUGAUGGAGGGGAUAACUACUGGAAACGGUAGCUAAUACCGCAUAACGUCGCAAGACCAAAGAGGGGGACCUUAGGGCCUCUUGCCAUCGGAUGUGCCCAGAUGGGAUUAGCUUGUUGGUGGGGUAACGGCUCACCAAGGCGACGAUCCCUAGCUGGUCUGAGAGGAUGACCAGCCACACUGGAACUGAGACACGGUCCAG
rnacentral:rRNA from 1 species